GUGGCAGCCGCCGCGGUAAUACGAAGGGACCUAGCGUAGUUCGGAAUUACUGGGCUUAAAGAGCUCGUAGGUGGUUAGAAAAGUUAGUGGUGAAAUCCCAAGGCUUAACCUUGGAACUGCCACUAAAACUUUUUAACUAGAGUGUGAUAGAGGUAAGCGGAAUUUCUAGUGUAGAGGUGAAAUUCGUAGAUAUUAGAAAGAACACCAAUUGCGAAGGCAGCUUUCUGGAUCAUUACUGACACUGAGGAGCGAAAGCAUGGGUAGCGAAGAGGAUUAGAUACCCUCGUAGUCCAUGCUGUAAACGAUGUGUGCUAGACGUUGGAAAUUUAUUUUUCAGUGUCGCAGCAAAAGCGUUAAGCACACCGCCUGGGGAGUACGACCGCAAGGUUAAAACUCAAAUGAAUUGACGGGGACCCGCACAAGUAGUGGAGCAUGUGGUUUAAUUCGAAGAUACGCGCAGAACCUUACCAACACUUGACAUGUUUGUCGCGACUCUAAGAGAUUAGAGUCUUCGGUUCGGCCGGACAAAACACAGGUGCUGCAUGGCUGUCGUCAGCUCGUGUCGUGAGAUGUUGGGUUAAGUCCCGCAACGAGCGCAACCCUUACUUUUAGUUGCCAUCAUUUAGUUGGGCACUCUAAAAGAACUGCCAGUGAUAAGCUGGAGGAAGGUGGGGAUGACGUCAAGUCCUCAUGGCCCUUACGUGUUGGGCUACACACGUGCUACAAUGGUACUUACAAUGGGAUGCAAAGAGGCGACUCUAAGCCAAUCCCAAAAAGGUACCUCAGUUCGGAUUGUACUCUGCAACUCGAGUACAUGAAGCUGGAAUUACUAGUAAUCGUGGAUCAGCGCGCCACGGUGAAUACGUUCCCGGGUCUU
rnacentral:rRNA from 1 species